rnacentral:misc_RNA from 1 species
AAAUGCGAUAAGUAAUGUGAAUUGCAGAAUUCAGUGAAUCAUCGAAUCUUUGAACGCACAUUGCGCCCGCCAGUAUUCUGGCGGGCAUGCCUGUCCGAGCGUCAUUUCAACCAUCAAGCCCCCGGGCUUGUGUUGGGGACCUGCGGCUGCCCGCAGGCCCUGAAAACCAGUGGCGGGCUCGCUGUCACACCGAGCGUAGUAGCAAUCACCUCGCUCAGGGCGUGCUGCGGGUUCCGGCCGUUAAACAGCCUUACAAAAACCAAGGUUGACCUCGGAUCAGGUAGGAAGACCCGCUGAACUUAAGC